rnacentral:rRNA from 1 species
CGACCUGAGUUCAGGUGAGGCUACCCGCUGAACUUAAGCAUAUCAAUAAGCGGAGGAAAAGAAACUAACCAGGAUUCCCUUAGUAACGGCGAGCGAAAAGG